CUCCCCAGCCACCGGCAAGUGUCACUCUAGUCUCCGUCCCUGUGAAUUUGACCACUCUGGGCACCUCAGGAAAGGCUCCCGCCCUCCCUCGAGGGACAUACCUCCAGGAACAUCACUGGCUUGAACUCCUGUUCCAAAUACCUGUUCUGAAACUCGGUCACCAGUUGGACCACUAGGACUGAGAGUUCCUGACGACAAAGAGAAAAUGACAAUGUUGGAGUCGAGAGGACUUCCCGUGUGCACUACUGAGACAAAGAACUCCCUUUUAUGGAAGACGAUGCUGCUUUCCAACGAUGUGAACGGACUUGCCCAAGGUCAUCUAGACUUCAACAAAGAGGCCAAGCAGGCUGUUACCCACCCCCCCCCCACACACACACCCAUUCUACCACACGGGGGCCUCCCCAGUCUAGGUCUGCCCUUAGGGGGGUGCACAAACCACUCCCAUGUUGGGCGUUUUGUUCUAUUUGUGCAUCUCCCAGCCCGCAGCCCAGGGACCAACUCUUCCCCUUUGUCAGCCCUCUUUAGCCCUGACCCUGGUGCCUGCCACAAUCCUAGGCAAGUGGCCAACAAAUUGUUGUGGCUCAAAGGAAUUGAAGUAAUUAAGCCCGUCGGGUUAUUGCAUUAAAGUAACAACUUACUUGAUAUGUACGGAUAAUGUCAGAUCUGCUUUAGAUCCCCUGGAUUCUAAAGUAAAUGAGUUUCUGGAU